AUCGUUGAAUUCACUUAUGAUAACAACAGGAUUAAAAAAUAAUUGUUAUUUACUUACAAAAGAAUAAACCGUCUCAUUGUCAGAAAGCAAUCUAAGGCAGAUAUAAAUUUCAAGCUGCACUAUGUAGUACGUAUGUAUUUUUAUAUUCUGCACUGUGAUGUGUAAAAUUAUUUGUUGCAGAGCUUAUUACUCCUAUAUAUAUCACUACUUGAGCGGAAGGAUUUUAUUACGCAACCAUAUCAAAUUGAUAAAUCCGAAGGACAGAGACCUGAUUUUGUAAAAGACAACAAAAAUUCAAAAAGCCCAGCCGAAAAAAAUAGUGAAAUGACAAUCGUGAUCAUGCGAAUCUACACAAUUCCAUUUUGCAUGAUCGCAUUUUGCUCACACCACGCGCAUGAAUAGAUGCGAAUUGAUCGAGUGGCUGCCUACGUGAUUUGUUCGUAUGAAACAAAUAAUAUAUAUUGCCUCUUUGCUGGUAAUGAAUGUUUGUCUUCCGACAAGGAUACAUUAUAAAUAAAUGUGAUGAAGCUAAAGGCGAUAGCUUGACAAGCGACAAUCGAGAAUCGGCGCGAGACCAUUUUGUUGCUACGCCACUCAUCUUUACUAGUAUCCGUGCCUUAACCAAUGUGCUUGGUGUUUGGAGACGAGUUCCCUCAUAAUUCAGCAUUUUAUAAAAAAAUUUGUAGAUGUUAUAAACGUUCUUCUCGAGAAAAUUUGUUCUUUAAGAUAGGACAUCUA